CAGCCCACCCCUUUCUCUGCGGGGACGCUUCUCUUUAAGAGGCUGACAGCGCUCCAUCUUCCAUCAGCUGAGGAGCAGGCGGCAUUUUAUGUGGCUGGAGGAGAAGUCUGAACCAGCCAAGCAGUGACAUCAGCCAGGCUGCACCUGCUUCAGAGGAUGAGUGGUUUCCAUAUUGGAAAGGACCAUAAUUGAACAUUUCUGUUGUCAAACCGUUUAUUAAUGACACUGCUCAAGAUUAUUAAAAGAGGUGAUUUGGGGAAUGGCAAAAGCUAUCCUGAGGAUAAAAGCACCGC